GAUGAACGCUGGCGGCGUGCCUAAUACAUGCAAGUCGAGCGAACAGACGAGGAGCUUGCUCCUCUGACGUUAGCGGCGGACGGGUGAGUAACACGUGGAUAACCUACCUAUAAGACUGGGAUAACUUCGGGAAACCGGAGCUAAUACCGGAUAAUAUAUUGAACCGCAUGGUUCAAUAGUGAAAGACGGUUUUGCUGUCACUUAUAGAUGGAUCCGCGCCGCAUUAGCUAGUUGGUAAGGUAACGGCUUACCAAGGCGACGAUGCGUAGCCGACCUGAGAGGGGGAUCGGCCACACUGGAACGGGGACACGGUCCAGACUCCUACGGGAGGAGGAGGUAGGGAAUCUUCCGCAAUGGGCGAAAGCCUGACGGAGCAACGCCGCGUGAGUGAUGAAGGUCUUCGGAUCGUAAAACUCUGUAAUUAGGGAAGAACAAAUGUGUAAGUAACUAUGCACGUCUUGACGGUACCUAAUCAGAAAGCCACGGCUAACUACGUG
rnacentral:rRNA from 1 species